rnacentral:rRNA from 1 species
UACGUAGGGGGCUAGCGUUGUCCGGAAUCAUUGGGCGUAAAGAGCGCGUAGGCGGCCAGAUAAGUCCGGUGUGAAAGUCACAGGCUCAACCUGUGAAUGCCGCUGGAAACUGUCGGGCUAGAGUGCGGAAGAGGCGAGUGGAAUUCCUGGUGUAGCGGUGAAAUGCGCAGAUAAUCAGGAGGAACACCAAUUGCGAAGGCAGCUCGCUGGGACGUUACUGACGCUGAGGCGCGAA